rnacentral:rRNA from 1 species
CGCUUGUGACCAGACUUGGGCGCGGCGGAUCAUCCGGGGUUCUCCCCGGUGCACUUCGCCGUGUUCAGGCCAGCAUCAGUUCGGCGCGGGGGCCAKKGGCUUCGGGAACGUGGCUCCUCCGGGAGUGUUAUAGCCCGUUGCAUAAUACCCUGCGCUGGACUGAGGACCGCGCAUCUGCAAGGAUGCUGGCGUAAUGGUCACCAGCGAC